rnacentral:rRNA from 1 species
UGCGGAGGGAUCAUUAAAGAGUUGCAAAACUCCCAAACCAUUGUGAACAUACCUUCAACGUUGCUUCGGCGGGUUGGCCCCGGUCUCCGGGGUCCCCGGCCCUACUCGGGCGCCCGCCGGAGGUAUCUAACUCUUGAACUUUUAUGGCCUCUCUGAGUCUUUGUACUUAAUAAGUCAAAACUUUCAACAACGGAUCUCUUGGUUCUGGCAUCGAUGAAGAACGCAGCGAAAUGCGAUAAGUAAUGUGAAUUGCAGAAUUCAGUGAAUCAUCGAAUCUUUGAACGCACAUUGCGCCCGCCAGUAUUCUGGCGGGCAUGCCUGUUCGAGCGUCAUUUCAACCAUCAAGCCCCCGGCUUGUGUUGGGGACCUGCGGCUGCCGCAGGCCCUGAAAACCAGUGGCGGGCUCGCUAGUCACUCCGAGCGUAGUAAUACAUCUCGCUCAGGGCGUGCUGCGGGUUCCGGCCGUUAAAAAGCCUUAUUUACCCAAGGUGACCUCGGAUCAGUAGAG